rnacentral:rRNA from 1 species
CCUACGGGUGGCAGCAGUGGGGAAUAUUGGGCAAUGGAGGCAACUCUGACCCAGCAAUGCCGCGUGAGUGAUGAAGGUAAUUUUAUUGUAAAGCUCUUUUCUUUGGAACGAAUAAAUGACGGUACCAAAGGAAUAAGCCCCGGCUAACUACGUGCCAGCAGCCGCGGUAAUACGUAGGGGGCAAGCGUUGUUCGGAAUGACUGGGCGUAAAGGGUGUGUAGGUGGUUUGAUAAGUUAGAUGUGUAAUACCCAGGGCUUAACUCGGGUGCUGCAUCUAAAACUGUUAGACUUGAGUACUGGAGAGGAUAGUGGAAUUCCUAGUGUAGCGGUGGAAUGCGUAGAUAUUAGGAGGAACAUCAGUGGCGAAGGCAGCAUACCGGCGCUCAACUGACGCUGAGGCACGAAAGCGUGGGGAUCGAACAGGAUUAGAUACCCCAGUAGUC